CCUCUCCCUCGCUCUCCCCAAACCCGUGCUCGCAUCGCGAGUCGCAAACCCCUCGCGGCCGCCGCAGGAAGCCGCGUCGAUGGGCGACUACGGCAGCGCGAUGACGCGGGGCAACGCGGACGGCGGCUCGCAGGGCCGCCCAAAGGGAGUGCCCCGCGCCAACGUCCAGCAGCUCAAGCUCAUGGGGCAGGGCCACCCGACUGGUCUCACGCCGAACCUGCUCAAGCUGUUCGAGGCGCGGCCUAUGCUCGAGCACAAGCCGCCCGUCCAGAAGCGCAAGUUGCCAUCCUACACGGGGAUGGCGCAGUUUGUGUCGCGGUUUGCCGAGCCUGGCGACCCAGAGUAUGCGCCGCCUGUCCCAACGUGUGAGACUAAGGCCGAAAAGAAGGAUAGAAUCAGGAAACUUAAGCUUGAGCAAGGGGCAGAUAAGGUCGCCAAAGAGCUUCAGAACUAUGACCCACAAAGUGACCCCAAUACCACUUCAGAUCCAUACAAAACACUCUUCGUUGCAAGACUUAAUUAUGAGACAUCUGAGAGCAGGGUUAAGCGGGAGUUUGAAGCCUAUGGGCCUAUUAAAAGGGUAGGUGCAUGUGGUAAAUCCCAGUACAGGUGGAGUUAUUCCUCUUUGAAUUGUAUGUUGUUCAGUUAUUGUGAUCAGCAAGCCUCAUGGGAUGAAAUUUCAAAGAAACAGUGGAUCCGCUGCCACCAUAUAUCUUCACUGUAGUUUUUGUGUGCCAAGGUGACUUUUGGACACACGGCGUUAUACUUUUGGUCUAUUUUAGCUACCACACAGAGCUAGAAGCUUCCCACAGCUCCCAAAGGAUUGCCUAUGAACUUCUGUUUGAUCUUGUCGUUAUUCUCGGAAUAUUACUUGGAGCCUUUGAGGUGUUCUUUAUUUUUUCCUGGUGGAAAAUAAUGAAGAGCCUCUUAUUUUAUUUUAUUUUUUUCAAAAAUAGUACUCCCUGUAUUUCAAACGACUUUGCGUAUUAGUUUUGUACAAACUUUGACCCAAUUUUGGUAGCAAAAAGUACCAACAACACAACACAAUAUAAAUGUCAUUAGAUCCAUCAUGAAAUAUAUUUUCAUAUUUGCCAAUUCAAUCAGUACUAUUUUGUGUACCAAACAAAACAUGCUUUUAUUUGUUAAGUCGACAAGAGGUGGUGUAAGGCAGUUCUUAAGCAAAACCGGUCGAGAGAAAAAAUCAGCAAAACUGAAAACAGGACGGAAGAAGUAACGUAAGACGGAACCUUUUGUAUUUUCAAGUGGGAGAGAUUAUUUGGAUUGUAGGUGUUGAUAUUUUUUUUCUACUAACUUGGUCAAAUUUUACGAAGUUUGGUUUGGGACAAAACUAAUGUGCAAUGCAUUGUAAAAUGGAGGGAGUAUCUGUAGAAGUCAAACUUGGCUUCUAAAAGCUGAUACUGUAUUUGUUGUGUUUUGCAUGUGGAUGCAUACAUUUUGUGACCGCCCUUCAGUAGCUGAUGUUGUAUGUGCUAAACAAAUAAAAUAUUAAUUAGAUUCUGUAGGCGAAAUUUUAAUCGUGCGUCUAACAUGUAUUCAUCUAAAAGUCAUACAAAAGCUGAAGGAAAUUUAUGAGACAUAAUGGCAUGUCAUGAAAUUUCUAAAUCUGAAUUUGACACAUGGCCUGAGAUAUAAAGAAGUCGUGCUGUGAAUAGUGCCAAGUUGGGUACUUCUACUCAAUAUUUGAUCUGGUAAUAUUCAAAGUUGGAUUUAUUUUUCUUGUUCUAACAUCAAUAAUUUGGAUUUUUUUACUCCACAUGAUGUGCACGUGAUGUCUAUGUUGUAAAUAAAAGGUUGGAAUUUUUUAAUGCUUUUAGAGGUCAUUUGUAGGCUCAGGUGCACCAGGUACACCACAAGCCUAGGUGCACAAGAUACACCAUCGUAUAUACAUGACUGUUUGUAGGUCUUUAUACAAUCUGUCCUUGCUAUCCAUCUUUAAACAUGUGGGGAUUUAGUGUUACCUAUGAAAUUGACACACUUAAUGCUAAGCAGAUAAAGUAACAUAGAUUUCAGACAGAAUUUUCUGCUUCCUAGUAAAUUAAUUAGUCAUUUAUACUGAAUCUUCGGUAAGCCAGUUUAAUCUGAGAUUCAUUGAUACUAACAUCGAUUACUUACUAUUAAUCGCACCAAUCAUGUAAUUGUUUUCUGCUAUUUCUCUUUUCUUCGCCCCGAAGAUUAAGAACCAAUUCGUAACUGUUGCUGCUAUUUUCUUUUCUUGGCCACGGCUGAACAAAAUACACACAACUGAGAGGGCAACUUGGUAUAGUAUUUACUAUUUAAGUCUACAGUUAUAUAUAUAUAUAUAGUUAGCCAGUUCCCUGGUAAGGGGAUAUCAUCGUAUUUUCCGACAUACGCCAAUCAGUCAGACUGCUUUUCCUCCAACUGUUGAUCUGUGCUGGAUUUCACUCCUCAUAAUGGAAGCUCUACAUAUGCAAGGUACGGCUCGUAACUGACAAGGAUACCAAUAAACCUAGAGGAUAUGCAUUCAUAGAGUAUAUGCAUACUCGGGAUAUGAAAAAUGCUUACAAGCAAGCUGAUGGGAGAAAAGUGGACAAUAAGAGGGUACUAGUUGAUGUGGAACGUGGUAGAACUGUCCCUAAUUGGCGUCCCAGGAGAUUAGGCGGUGGACUUGGAUCAAGCAGAAUUUGUGGUGCAAGUGCUGACCAGAAGCCGCCUGCCAGGGAGCCAUUGAGUGUUGGGCGCCCCAGAUCAGAAGAACCUAAGAGGGGUGAUUCCCGCGUAGAUAGAGAUCGGGAGAAGUCUCGUGAAAGGGUACGGGAAAGAGACCGCGAUGAAAAUCCCCGUGAGCGUUCUCAUGACAGAAUACGUGAGCUUGAUUCAAGGGAAGAGAGGCACCACCAUAGAGAUCGGGACAGGACUCGGGACAGGGACCGAGGAAGGGACCGGGAAAAAGACCAUGGGCGUGACCGUGACCGUGAUCGUCGGGACAGAGAUAGGGAUAGGGACCGUGGUAGGGAUCAUGAUAGGGAGAAGGAUCGUGGCCUCUCAUGAUCGUCACCGUGAGAGAGGCAGGGAUCGCGAGAGAGAUCAUGAGCGUGCAAGUUACGAGCGUGACCGCGCUCACUUGAAGGAUAGGGAUGCUGAAUACAACGGUGAGCCAAAGCAUGACAGGAGCAUGGCUGAAUAUGGGAAGCAUUAUGGCUCUAACCAGUAUGAGCAACACAAAAGUUAUGAGUCGUAUUGCUAUCAAGUUCAAGGCGGGCAUGGGCAUGAAACUGAAAGCUCAAAGCGACAUGAGCAUGAACACUAUCAGGCACAACCCAACACAGAACCUGAAGGCCCUGAAGAAGGCGAGGCAUAUGAGGAAGGUGACUACCAGUAUCACCAAGUAGCAGAAGAGCAAAAGACUGAAGCUUGAUCACUGCAAUGCUUUAGUUUUCGUGGGUGUGCUUUUCCGAAGGGAGGCACAAAGAAUGUCAACUUGCUGGCUCGGAUAUGUGAUGUUUUGUUUUAUUCUGGUUGUCAUCAGUGCAAAUGUGGUCGCAUUGUACGACAGACUGUUAACU
rnacentral:rRNA from 1 species